rnacentral:lncRNA from 1 species
AAGCAGGUGGCUCUUGGAAAUGCCAACGUGCCAGAGAGGGAAUUUUGUCCUCAGCCAUGGCCAGGUGCCGCCCGUGCCACAUCAUUUUUUCCCUGAACCCCCCACAUCAAACAAUCCACAGGCCUUGAACAAUUUUGUGCCUGGAUCCAGCAUGCCAUCCCUUUCCCAGGUGUGGGAGCCCUCUGUGAGCGUGGUGCAGCCGGUGUUGGUGGUGCCUGAGGCCGGGGGCUGCCGGUGGGGUGGUGGUGACCUCCUCCAGCAGUGUCUGUGGGCAGCAGGCAUCACCGAGCAGCUGCUGGAAGCCGAGGCCAAGCGGGACCAGCUCCCCGUGGCUUCCCACAGCAUCCCACGGAUCUUCCCCGGAGCUGGGGCCCAGCAGCCGCUCCUCCAGCCCUUGGUGCAGCACCUCGGGCCCUUCCCCAGCCUCCAGCCGGCCGUGGGACACCUGGGGGGACAGCAGGUGAUGGCCACCGCCCUCCCAGCGCAGCAGGUCGUGUUCCUGCCGCAGCCUCUCCAGGUGCCGCAGAGGAUCAUCCUGCAGAUGAAGCAGCCAGGCCCUACCAUGCUCACCCUGCUCCCCAGCCCAGCCUCCUGUGUCCUGGGGAGUGGCCAGGGGCCAAGGCCACCAGCCCACAAACCCCACUGCCACCCCCAUCCUGCCACCCCAUCACACCCUGGAGCAGCAGCACUCCCCACGCCCCACGCUGUGGGCAUUGAGCUGCAGCAUGCUGAAAACUUCAGGGACCCAAAAUGUGGGAAAAUGGAUUAUUUUGUUUAUUUUUAAUAAAAAUUCUUG